UUGACCUCGGAUCAGGUAGGAAGACCCGCUGAACUUAAGCAUAUCAAUAAGGCGGAAAGAAGAAUUUUACAGAGUUGCAAAACUCCCAAACCAUUGAUGAACCUACCCUCAACGUUUUGCUUCGGCGGGCGGGCCCGGGCC
rnacentral:rRNA from 1 species